rnacentral:rRNA from 1 species
AUCCAUGCGCCGACUGGACAAUUUAAACCCUUUGCAGUUGCAAUCAGCGUCUGAAAAAACUUAAUAGUUACAACUUUCAACAACGGAUCUCUUGGUUCUGGCAUCGAUGAAGAACGCAGCGAAAUGCGAUAAGUAGUGUGAAUUGCAGAAUUCAGUGAAUCAUCGAAUCUUUGAACGCACAUUGCGCCCCUUGGUAUUCCAUGGGGCAUGCCUGUUCGAGCGUCAUUUGUACCUUCAAGCUCUGCUUGGUGUUGGGUGUUUGUCUCGCCUCUGCGUGUAGACUCGCCUCAAAACAAUUGGCAGCCGGCGUAUUGAUUUCGGAGCGCAGUACAUCUCGCGCUUUGCACUCAUAACGACGACGUCCAAAAGUACAUUUUUACACUCUUGACCUCGGAUCAGGUAGGGAUACCCGCUGAACUUAAGCAUAUCAAUAAGCGGAGGAAAAGAAACCAACAGGGAUUGCCCUAGUAACGGCGAGGGAAGCGGCAACCUAGG